GAUUCCUCUUGGCUUCUCUGAGCAGCAUUCCUUCCCUCUGGGUAUGGGGCAGGAACCUUUCCAGAAUGGGAGUCUUAUAACCUAUCAUCAAACAAGUUCUGACAGAGAAACUGUUAACCACAAGCUGCCUUCUAUUCACUCUGAGGACUGCUACCUGUGAGACUUCAUCUGCAUAACAAGACAGCCUUUGCUCUCCAUGUGUUUCCUCCCCCCACCCUCCCACAACCCAUCCCCAGGCUCCCCAGGAGCCCUAAGUCCUUAUUCUACUCUGUAUGGUAUACAACUUAGUCAUCUGGCCCUUCUUUGAGUCUCAUAUUUUGUGUAGUUACUCUACACAUGCAUAUGUAAUAAACUUGUAUACCUUUUCUCCU
rnacentral:lncRNA from 1 species